rnacentral:miRNA from 1 species
UGUACCCAUUAUCUAAGGUCUACUCCAGACUGGGUGUGAUGGUACACGCCUGUAGUCAAGCUCUUGGGAGGCUGAGGCAGGAGGAU